GACGAACGCUGGCGGCGUGCUUAACACAUGCAAGUCGAACGGAGUUACGUAUGAAGUAUUUCGGUACGGACUACAUAACUUAGUGGCGAACGGGUGAGUAACACGUGGGCAACCUGCCCUUAACCGGGGGAUAACAUUGUGAAAACAGUGCUAAUACCGCAUAACAGAGUAUCGGGCAUCCGAUAUUUUUAAAAGGAGCAAUCCGGUUUAGGAUGGGCCCGCGUCCAAUUAGCUAGUUGGUGAGGUAACGGCUCACCAAGGCUACGAUUGGUAGCCGAACUGAGAGGUUGAUCGGCCACAUUGGGACUGAGACACGGCCCAGACUCCUACGGGAGGCAGCAGUGGGGAAUAUUGGGCAAUGGGCGAAAGCCUGACCCAGCGACGCCGCGUGAAGGAUGAAGGUCUUCGGAUUGUAAACUUCUUUGAUCAGGGAAGAAAGAAAUGACGGUACCUGAAGAACAAGCCAACGGCUAACUACGUG
rnacentral:rRNA from 1 species